AGACCCGAAACCCGGUGAUCUAGCCAUGGGCAGGUUGAAGGUUGGGUAACACUAACUGGAGGACCGAACCGACUAAUGUUGAAAAAUUAGCGGAUGACCUGUGGCUGGGGGUGAAAGGCCAAUCAAACCGGGAGAUAGCUGGUUCUCCCCGAAAGCUAUUUAGGUAGCGCCUCGUGAAUUCAUCUCCGGGGGUAGAGCACUGUUUCGGCUAGGGGGCCAUCCCGGCUUACCAACCCGAUGCAAACUGCGAAUACCGGAGAAUGUUAUCACGGGAGACACACGGCGGGUGCUAACGUCCGUCGUGAAGAGGGAAACAACCCAGACCGCCAGCUAAGGUCCCAAAGUCAUGGUUAAGUGGGAAACGAUGUGGGAAGGCCCAGACAGCCAGGAUGUUGGCUUAGAAGCAGCCAUCAUUUAAAGAAAGCGUAAUAGCUCACUGGUCGAGUCGGCCUGCGCGGAAGAUGUAACGGGGCUAAACCAUGCACCGAAGCUGCGGCAGCGAACGUAUCACCCAAGACAACUU
rnacentral:rRNA from 1 species